AGAGCCUCUAACUCCCCAUCUACCUAUUAUCAUCGAUCACUCUCACGCCUUUGAUUAUUCUUAUCACAUAAAAUUUACACAAUAAAAUCCAUCAUCUCCCCUCGUUAUCAUCCAAUAGACUACUAGAUUCAUCAAAGAUUCAUGAGUCAGGCAACAAAGUUCCAUUCAUGGACCUUUAUUAGAGAUCUACUCAAAUGGAAAUCAUUGAGCAUGCUUUAUAUUUCUUCACCUUCUCUUUUAUGCUUUGCUCUAUUCUUUAUUCUAGCCAUGGACAACAAACAUCUUCAACGACUAUGAUUUUCUUGAUUAAUUAAUUAAGGUAAUAUUUCUAACUUUCAGAAUUACAUUAUUAAUGUACAUCCUCUAUAAAUUUACAAAUAUAAUUCAUUUAUUAAUCAAUCUUUUUAUUCAAUAUUUACACAUUAUUAGGCUUAAUUAUGUUUUUAAUGUUUUUAAAUUAGGUGGUGUAUUUUUUUUAAUCCUCCCAAUAAAGCACCGUUAAUAUUUUGUAAACAUAUGGCUAAGAGUAUAUUCAAAAACUGCAACCAACCCUGACUUUUCAACCUCCCAAGUAAAAAAAAAAGUAACUUUGUUUCAUAAAUAUAUAGUGUCUUAAUUGAUUAUUGUGUGUGUAUACAUACAAGUAGAUAGGUAUUGCAGCAGGUGAGCUGCCACAGAAACUAUCACAGGAACCUUGCUGACGGACUGAAAAUAGCAGGAAGGUGGUGGUGCAACAUCAAUGUGCUGGAGAUGAAAGAUGAGCUAGUGCUUUUUAACAAAAGAUUAACAUCUCCGAACGUUGUAAAAGCUCACUUAGGAGCUGAGUGGGAAGCAGAACGUUGUUCAACAAAAGAUGCUCUUUCCUGCUGAGUGGGUGCAUAAAUUAGUUUAGUGUGAGUGGCUGUAUGACAAGUUUCUGGUCAUGGAGGUUCUCCAAAACAACCGUGUUGGAAACGAGGUUCAACAUUGUCACCAACGCUCAACUAUCUUUGCACUCAAAGCUAGCUUGCUGCACUUGCUGUGAUGGAAUUUGUGAAUGCUAUAUACGUAGUACUCAUAUCAGCUUCGAAAAAUAGUGAUAUAUAAAAAAUUGUAGGAAGAAAAUGAUUAUGUAAUGGAAAACGAUAGAAAAUAAAAUUAUUGUAAAAUAUAAAUUAAAAUGUUAUGUGCAAGUUUGUAUCAAAUAUUAAGAUCCCAACUCAAUUCAUCUCUAUAAAUAAAUUCCAUUGAGAGAAAUAGGCUGCA